UACAGAGGGUGCAAGCGUUGUUCGGAAUUAUUGGGCGUAAAGGGCGCGUAGGCGGCCUGUUAAGUCGAACGUGAAAUCCCUGGGCUCAACCCAGGAACUGCGUCCGAUACUGGCAGGCUUGAAUUCGGGAGAGGGAUGCGGAAUUCCAGGUGUAGCGGUGAAAUGCGUAGAUAUCUGGAGGAACACCGGUGGCGAAGGCGGCAUCCUGGACCGAUAUUGACGCUGAGGCGCGAAAGCCAGGGGAGCAAACGGGG
rnacentral:rRNA from 1 species